rnacentral:lncRNA from 1 species
AUCUUUGUACCCAAGUGAACAUUUGAAGGCCUUUUUUAAUAACAACAGUUCACAUUUACACAAUAAUGGAUUGUUUAUAAGUAGCUUUCCUCAUAACAAUCUGGUGGGGUGAAUAUUUUCAGUACUUCAAGGCUGUAUAAUUUCAUUAGUUUGGAGUCUUCCUCUAGAAAGGCAGUUUAUGACCCUCUAAAGAUGGCCUUCAAGAAUUAAUGUGACAAAAAAUAAAAGAAAGAAAGAAAGGAAGGAAGGAAAAGAGGAAGGAAAGAAGAAAGGAAGGAAGGAAAGAAAGGAGGAAGGCAGGCAUAGAGGAAGGAAAGAAGGAAUGAAGGAAGGGAGGAAGGGAGGAAAGGAGUCAGGAAGUGUGGGAAAGAGAGAGGAAAGGAGGAAAAAGAAGAAAAAAAAUUACCACCCUAUGGCCAAUCUACCGGAGACUAGUCUGACAAGCUGCUCCUAAAAGACUCCAUUGACAGGAUGGACCUCGGUGAGAAAUGGACUUUGGAGGAAGGUCAUAGGUUGGCUCAUCAUGGAAUGCAUCAUUUUGCAAGUUCGAGGGCAGACAAUGAGCUUGCGGAAGCCGCAGCAGCGCCGUUCAAACCGGACGAGUUGGGUAAGUUCUUCCCUUGGUGGAUAAAGGCAUUGUUUUUUCCUUCCUGCCCUUUGAUUUCCCGGGGCGACUGACUACAGAGUUACUGGCGGGGGCCAGCCUCCGCGAGGACCCAGAUGCCAGGCCAUGAGUUGGGUCUAAGGGGAAUACUUUUCUAUAUUCUGGCAUAUCCCAAUCCCUUGUGUCAAUCACAUUGGCUCAGUUUAGAUGCGAGCUGGCGUUUUUGCCUUGACUUGUAGCUUUGUGGCUAACUAGAGUCUGUGUCAGUGUGUGUGUGUGUGUGUGUGUGUGUGUGUUAGACGAUGCAAAUUUUGCAUCUCUUUAGAGAAUACACUUCAAGCUCAACACAAAACGAACGAACACGAAGUUUCUAUACCGCUGGUUCUGGAGCCUGCCCUAGAAAUCAGGAACUGCCGGUGUCUUUUCUGUAGUUGCCCUAGCCCAGGUAUUAGCCCACUCUAAAGAUACAUAUGCUACCUAGAGGUACUCAUGAAUUGAAGUCGAGUGGAG